rnacentral:lncRNA from 1 species
UAGCUAUUGAAAAUCCUUCUCUUUUUAGGCUCUCAGUCUGUGGCCAUUACUCACUGUUGGCAGUCUGCCCCGUCUCACUUCCGUUACCUUUUUCUUUCAUGGUCUCUGAUGCUGGAAGCCACCUACAGUUUUGAAGUUCCCCACUAGCCUUCCCUGGUGGUUGGCAUUACAUUUGAGUUCGGCUUUCUCGCUUCCUCUACCUUUUGAAAUUUAAAAAUAGAAAAUAACCAACAAACCCUCUGUCUUUCACAUCAGCUGCACUCUAUUAUACAUCUAACAGAUUUUCCGGUGAAUUCCACAGUGUACCAUUUAUAGUCAGAAAUCUGCCAUCAGUUCACAAUAAACCCUGUAAGAAAUUGACAAAGAGCUACUUUUAUUUUGACUAUCAAGCAUAAAAUCAGAAAUGGGAGGUAGCAACUCAUAGGAGAAGGCUUUGAAAAGUGAAUCCAAGAGACAGAAUAGCUCCUAGCCUAUUUUCUCCUUACCUGUCCAACUUCCCUGAGCCAUUGGGUUGAUAAAAAGACUCUUUCAAACUGUUUUUCUUGCACUGUGGAUGGGUCUGGGGAAGCAUGAGACCCUGCAUGGGAGUGAGCAAUAUUUUCAGAGACUCUACCU